UACGUAGGGUGCAGGCGUUAAUCGGAAUUACUGGGCGUAAAGCGUGCGCAGGCGGUUUGCUAAGACAGGUGUGAAAUCCCCGAGCUUAACUUGGGAAUUGCGCUUGUAACUGGCAAGCUAGAGUGUGGCAGAGGGGGGUGGAAUUCCACGUGUAGCAGUGAGAUGCGUAGAUAUGUGGAGGAAUACCGAUGGCGAAGGCAGCCCCCUGGGUCGAUACUGACGCUCAUGCACGAAGGCGUGGGGAGCAAACAGG
rnacentral:rRNA from 1 species